GGUUCCGUCAUUAUCAGAAACACAGCUGUGCCUUGGAACUGACCAAGGAUCUCAACAUGCCAGAGAGCCAAUGCCCCCAGGAGCAGCCCUCAAGGCUUUGGAUGGGAGCUGAUUGGGAUUGAACUCAGGGGCACUUGACUACUGAGCCACAUCCUUGUUGGGAGCUGCCCUGGAGAGGAGCUAUGUACACACCUUUAAGUCCUGAAUAAAGAGGUAUUGCACUGGUAUUGCACUCUGCAAUGCAACUGGACUUCACCUCCACUUUGCUAAGAAAGUUUUCGGCGGACACAACAUCUUUGUUUGUACGCGGUGCUGAGGAUCGAACCAGGGCCGCACGCAUGCCAGGCGAGCAUGUUACCGCUUGAGCCACAUCCCCAGCCCCGAUAUACACAAUUUAAACAGAUCAAUUUCAAGCUAUGAAAUAAAAGAAGCCAUCAGAAGCCUACCAACCAAGAAAAGCCCAGGUCUGGAUGGAUACACAGCUGAGUUCUACAAGACCUUUGAAGGAGAACUAAUACCAACACUCUUCAAUUUAUUUCAGGAAAUAGAAAAAGAGGCACAUUUCCAAGCUCAUUCUAAGGGGCCAAUAUCACCCUGAUUCCAAAACCAGGCAAAGACACAUCAAAAAAAGAACACUUCAGAUCAAUAUCUCUAAUGAACAUAGAUGCAAAAAGUCUCAAUAAAAUUCUGGCAAAUCGAAUACAAAAACAUAUCAAAAAGAUAUGAUACACCAGGGCUGCAAGGGUGGCUCAUUCAUCACAUCAAUAGACUUAAAGAAGGGCUGGGGCUGCGGCUCAGCAGUAGAGCACUUGCCUAGCACGUGUGAGGUGCUGGUUUCAAUCCUCAGCACCAUCUAAAAAUAAAUAAAUAAAACAAAAGUAUUAUGUCAAACUACAGCUAAAAAAUAUUUUUUAAAAAUAGACUUAAAAAUAAGAAUCAUAUGAUCAUCUCAAAAGAUGCAGAAAAAGCAUUUGACAAAAUACAGCACCCCUUCAUGUUCAAAACACUAGAAAAACUAGGAAUAACAGGAACAUAUCUCAAUACUGUAAAAGCUAUCUAUGCUAAGCCCCAGGCCAACAUCAUUCUAAAUGGAGAAAAACUGAAGGCAUUCUCUCUAAAAACUGGAAAAAGACAGGGAUGCCCUGUUUAACCACUUGUAUUUAACAUAGCUCUUGAAACACUGGCCAGAGCAAUUGGACAGGUGAAAGAAAUUAAAGGGAUACACAUAGGAAAAGAAGAACUCAAAAUGGCAUUAUUUGCUGAUGAUGAUUCUAUACCUAGAAGACCCAAAAAAUUCCAUCAGCAAACUUCUAGAACUAGUAAAUGAAUUCAGGAAAGUAGCAAGACAUAAAAUCAACACCCAUGAAUCAAAGGCAUUUCUGUAUAUCAGUAACAAAUCCUCUGAGAGUGAAAUGAGGAAAACUACCCCAUUUACAAUAGCCUCAAACAACAACAACAACCAAAACAAAACAAAACAAAACAAAAAAGCCUUGGGAAUCAACUUAAUGAAAGAUCUAUACAAUGAAAACUACAGAAUCCUAAAGAAAGAAAUCAAAGACCUUAGAAGAUGGAAAGAUAUACUUUGCUGUUGGAUAGGCAGAAUUAAUAUUAUCAAAAUGACCAUACUACCAAAAGCACUGUACAGAUUUAAUGCAAUACCGAUCAAAAUCCCAAUGGCAUUCCUCAUAGAAAUAGAAAAAGCAGUGAUGAAAUUCAUCUGGAAAAAUAAGAGACCCAGAAUAGCUAAAGCAAUCCUUAGAACGAAGAGUGAAGCAGGUGUCAUCACUAUACUAGAUCUCAAACUAUACUACAGAGCAAUAGUAACAAAAACAACACCAAAACAGACUAGUAGACCAAUGGUAUAGAAUAGAGGACACAGAGACUAAUCCACAAAACUACAAUUAUCUUAUAUUAGACAAGGGUGCCAAAGGUGCCAAGAACAUGCAUUGGAGAAAAGAUAGCCUCUUCAACAAACGGUGCUGGGAAAACUAGUAAUCCAUAUACAACAAAAUGAAAUUAAAUCCCUAUCUCUCACCAUGCAAAAAAUUUAACUCAAAACGGAUCAAGGACUUAGGAAUAAAACUAGAUACCCUGCAUCUAAUAGAAAAAAAAGUAGGCCCUAUCUCCAUCAUGUGGGAUUAGGCUCCAACUUCCUUAAUAAGACUCCUGUGGCACAAGAGUUAAAAUCAAGAAUCAAUAAAUGGGGUGAGUUCAAACUGAAAAGUUUCUUCUCAGCAAAAGAAACAAUCUGUGAGGUGAAUAGAGAGCCUACAUCUUGGGAGCAAAUUUUUACCUUCACACAUCAGAUAGAGCACUCAAAAAGUUAAACACCAAAAAAACCCCAAAUAACCCAAUCAAUAAAUGGGCCAAGGAACUGAACAGACACUUCUCAGAAGAUGAUAUACAAUCACUCAACAAAUAUAUGAAACAAUGUUCAUCAUUGCUAACAAUUAGAGAAAUGCAAAUUAAAAGCACUCUAAGAUUUCAUCUCACUCCAGUCAGAAUGGCAGCUAUUAUGAAUACAAACAACAAUAAGUGUUAGCGAGGAUGUGGGGAAAAAGGUACACUCAUACACUGCUGGUGGGACUGCAAAUUGGUGCAGCCAAUAUGGAAAGCAGUAUGGAGAUUCUUUGGAAAAUUGGGAAUGGAACCACCAUUUGACCCAACUGUCCCUCUCCUCAGUCUAUACCCCAAAAACUUAAAAAAAACAGCCUACUACAGGGACACAGCCACAUCAAUGUUUAUAGCAGCACAAUUCACAUUAGCUAAACUGUGUAACCAAUCUAGAAGUCCUUCAGUAGAUGAAUGGAUUUAAAAUGUGGCAUUUAUACACAAAUUGUUGAGAGCCACAGUUUAGUCGGAAUGACGCCUGGCAUUUUUGCCAGAGGGAAUGGUUGAAAGGUGACCCUGCUCU